CCUCACAUGUGCUAGGCAAGCACUCUACUACUGAGCUACAACCACAUCCUCACCUUUUGAGAGAGCGACUCAUUUGCUGUGGGACUUGGUAAGUUGCUGAGGCUGCCUUUGAACUUUUGAUCAUCCUGCCUCAGCCUCCCAUGUUGCUACGAUUAUAGGUAUGUGUCACCUUGUCCAAUUUCCAGAAGAGGAAAAUUUAUAUAGACAGAAAUUAGAUUGGUUAUUCUCUACAGAUGGGGAUUGGGGAAAAAAGGAGGAAAUAAGAAAGGACUGCUAAUUUGUUUGGGAUUUUUCUGGGGAUGAUUAGAGUGUUCUUCAGUUGUGGUGUUGGUUUUACAAUUUUGUGAAUACACUAAAUAUCAUUGAAUUGUUAAUGUUAAAUGGUCAGUUGUAGGUUGUGUGAAUUGUAUUCCAAUAAAGCUGUUACAAAAAGUGAUGUAAGUGAAUGAUUCUUAUGAUUAUCUGUAAAUGACUGAGUUGUGAAAAUGCUGUCAUGUCAUGCUGUCAUGUCAUGCUGUUAGAUAAUAAAGGAAAUUGAGCCAAAGUUCUAUCCCUGCAGUGAUUCAUGGCUCAGAACCAAUUUGUCUAAUACUUGGUACAUAUAUGUCACAUAUUCACUGCCUUCAUAGAUAUCUUCUCAGUACUUUCCUAAGAAUUGAGAAAAUGUUUUCCAAUUGGGGUCAUUACAAAAAAGUAAUUAACUCAAUACAUAUUUAAUGAGAUUCAUUAUAUUUGAUAUAUUAUCUUCAAACAGCAUUGCACCCUCUGUAUUCCAAUCAAUCUGAGCCUCUUUCUGUUUAUUACAUGUCCCACACUCUGAUUUACACACCCUUACAUGUACUUCUGGGAUGCUUUUCCUACCAUUUUUUCUGCUGAGUUGAGAUUUACCUUCAGCUCUUGGGUUACACUUAUCUUCCCCUAGGAUAUUUGCCUGAAAUCAGGUUAUUUUCCUGUUCUGUACAGAAAGAGUCCAUUCAUUGACCUCCUUUAAUAGAAAGCACUUAUCACAAUCUUUGCUCAGAGACUAGGAGCUCCUUGUGGGAAGGGAUCAUGUCUAUCUUUUCCUUCUCUGAGCCCGUGGACUGAACAUAAUGUAGGUUUUUUUUUUAAAUAUUUCUAGUCAUAAUUAAAUAUAAAACAUUAGUGAUGGGCAAUAAUCAAAUAUGAAACCAUAAAUGGAAUUUCUGCUUAUUCAACAAGGGUUAAAUCUGGAUGGAAGAAAAUAGUUUAUAAACUAUUUUUACUGAGUGGAACAUGAUGGAGAUUUAUUAAAAAUUCCACGAACAUCAAUAUUUUCAGAUUCAAAUGAGCUAUGGGAAAGCUGCAAUCUAAAAGCUAUGUGUUAAGGAAAAGUUUCCUUGCUCACAAUAGGACCCACACAGGAAGGGUCAGGCCUUUAUUUUCUAUUGAAUGUUAUGUCCAGAUGGUACCCAGGCCUAUGGCUAAAAUUUUGGUAAAACAAGAUCAAGAACAAAAGCCUAUUCAGUAAGGUUAGAAGCCAGAAUGUGGAGUUUGUUUAUGAGUUAUUAAAUUUGUCAUACCUUGAACCAUUAUACCAGUGGAUUUUUUGAUGCAUAAUUUUUCUUUAUAGGUUUUUAUCCUAGCUAGGAUAGGAUAACUGAGUUAUCCUAGCUCUGUCAAGGGUAUUAUUUCUGGUCCCACAUCAUUACCGGAGAGACAAGGAUCAGUUUAUUACUGACUUGGGAACCUCCCAGGGACUUUGACAAGCCUACCUACUUUGGUUCUUGAGAUGGGUUAAACUCACUCAAGGCUGUAUCAUUUCCUAUAAUAUCCACUUAAAGGAUGGAGACUCUAAUUUUGGGAGUGGGCUACUGCAUGAACUAUGAGAGCUAAUUCAUAUUUGCAAUGUAUUGUUUUACCUACUCUUAGCCCAACUCACUUAGGGAUGAAGUGAAGCGUGUGCCUCGAAUGUGUAAACCAAAAGAAUUGGACUGGAGUAACCUCAUUCCAUCCUAGUACACUGGUGGUCUCAUUGAUAUGUUGGCUCUGGUAAGCGUGGGAGGAUGACUCCUGUGUGUGGCAUUGUCAACUCAUUUUUGGUAUAAAUACCUCUGCUGUUGCUGAAUUAAAGCUGCUAACAAUUUCAUAAAUGUUUUACAAGAUUCUUGCAUAUUUAUGGGUCAGCUUGUGUGAUGUGAUCUGGCUACAGCAUUCCACUGAGUGUUGCCAAACUAAGGGAGAUUUGGGGGGUUCCUGGUGCCUUUGUUCUCACAGAUAUGCUCCUUAUAUAGGCCCAUGGUUAAUGGCAAGGUUAUGAUAGGCUGUGGCCCUGAACUCAUGUUGUCUAUACUAUGGAGAGAAGGGAGCCGUGGCAGGUUUCACAGCCCAAUUCCAACAGAGGAGAUGGAAUUAUAGGAACUAUGUUCCAGUCUUUGUCCAGGGUUCAAAACUUAUCUAUGCCUCUCACACUCCUACCCCUCAGAUAUAUACCACAAAACUGAGGCAGGCAGAGAUACAGUAACUUUGCUAAACCCACAGACAAGUGUUGGAGCUUGGAUUCUUCCUCAGACUUUACUUUCCCCCAAACCAGACUUCUUAGCAUCUCUGUUAUGAGGCCUUUCCUAGGAAAUUGGUACAAUAAAUCAGAAUAUUGUACUGAUGAGUUCUGGGAACAGGACAAAGGCAUGUUUAUUUGAAUGAUAUCUCACAAUCACUAGUCUAAAGAGAAACUUGUUACAGUGACUUGCUUUAACAAGGGAAAAUUAUUAUCCACAGAACCAGAUUGUUGUACCAAGGUUGAAACCCUUUGAAUCCUAUUCUCUGGAAAAGAUACUAAAAUAUGUAAGCAAAUAAAGUUGGAGAGCAUGAGGCAUAACAGUUAACUUCAUACACCCCUGGUGAGACUGGAAUGUAGGCUUGCUAUGUGCAUCAUGAUUUAAAUGUAAAAUCAGUUUGAUUUAGACACAUUACUUCCAAAAGACUUAAGGAAAUGAUUGGACAGAUAAAAAUUUCUAAGCAAUGGUAUUUAACCUACAUACAUUUGAAAAUUUGAACAAGUGGAAUGGACGUUAAUACACACCUGUAAAGUUUUGAUUUUGAGAAAUAUACUACUUCCAUGCAUGGGGUGAUAUGCAUUUAAACUUCUAGGUGUCUUUUUUUGGCAUGAGAAUGCCGUUUUUUGGACACAUAAACACGAAACAUCCCUGAAAGCCACAAUAUUGCAUUAUCUUUUCUCACAUGGGGAUUCUACUCCAUCUUGGACUUCAACAAGUCCUCCUGCUCCUAAUACACUCCAUUUCCCCCUCCUUUGGGUCUAAAAGCAUGCUGAAGAAUGUUUUGUGUGCUCCUUCUGAACUACUGUGAAUAAAAGCAACAACAGCCUUUCACCAACAUGUCCUGAUUUGUAUUAUCCAAGUAAGGAAAAUCUUUAAAAAUUACAUCUGUGGGGCUGGGGCGGUAGCUCAGUGGUAGAGUGUUUACCUAGCACAAGUGAGGCCCUGGGUUCGAUCCUCAGCACCACAUAUAAAUGAAUAAAUAGAAUAAAGGUAUUAAAAAAUUCCUACCUUUUAAAAAAUUACAUCUGUUAUCUCUUCACUCCUGUCUAUUGUGUGCUUCAGUCACAGAACUUCUUUUCUUCCCACUAAUUACAGAGAUUAAGGAUGUUUGCACUUAGUGUAAUGAGGUAUAGGGCUUGGUAGACAUUGUAAAACUUUCAGAGACCAGUCUUAACAAACACUGGUGGCACCACUGAGCAACAGCACAUGGAGAUGUAAACUUCAAUAUGUAUACAAACUUGUUUAAAAACUGAAUAAAAACAGUGUUUUAUGCUGAGAUUUUUUUUGAGUACUGAGGAUUGAACUCAGGGGAACUUGACCACUGAUCCACAUUCCCAGCCCUAUUUUGUAUUUUAUUUAGAGACAGGGUCUCACUGAGUUGCUUAGCGCCUCACUUUUGCUGAUUUUGGCUUUGAACUUGCAAUUCUUCUGCCUCAGCCUCCCAAGCUGCUGGGAUUAUAGGUGUGUGCCACUGUGCCCAGUUUAUUGCUGGGAUUUUGAGAAGGCUAGUUUAAGAGAUUCAGACAAACUAGUGAGUUCAAACAUCCUUCACCAUCUGAUCCUGUGUUACCACCAGCAGGUUCCAGAUGGGUGGCAAAUUGAUUUUACUGCAUCAUGUCUCUUACCCCAGUACCUUCCUUAGCCAUAUGAAGUGUGGCUCUGGGCCCUUUCUCUCUCAUUCCUGUGGUUCCAGGAUAGAGAAUAACAAGUCAGUAAAAUGUGGACUGGGAAACACUGGCUGGAACUAACAAGACUAUGUAACUGUUUUCUUUAUAAUGUUUUAUCUACACUAAAUACAAAAUACAUUUUCCCUUCCAUUUAACUGAUUGUUAUUUUGGAUAACCCCCCCUUUGUUUGGGCAAGAAAGGAAUACUGUCUCUCUCUGAGUGGAAUCCAAAAUAUAUUAAGAAAAAUCAACCUUUUCUACACAGUUUUAUUUUAAUGGAAGGAAAACCUACCACAUACAUUUCAGAUGGAAAGAGAAGCAAAACAAAACAAAACACUGCAAGUAAUUGACCUUGGUUCCAAAGACAAAGAUUUUUAAAAGUUGGGACUUUUCUUUGCAAGGGCAGCAACAAUGUGCCUUAUAGACUGGCAAAGCUUAUCCAAUAAGGAACUGUCCUGGUUCUACCUUAUUUUAAAACAAAGUGAAAGGACAGCAACUCUGAGUAUAAAAUAGUUAAAAAUAAUUCUUUAAAAAAGACAUGGAGACAUAUGUGUUUCCUAACUGGUUUUAGAAAUUGCCAGGUUAUGAUAUAAAAAGUAGCUGAUGAAAUAAUAUCAAAAUCUCAUCUAGAAAACUACAUCAUCAGGGGAGGAAAAAAGGGACUUGAAAAAAAUGCUUAUUGCCAAAGUUGACUUUCUGUAAGUUGAAAGAUCACUUAGAUUGAACAAACCACAGAGCAACAUAAAAUGGGCACUUUUGAAGAUUUUGAAAAAUUAUAAAAGCUGUUUUUUUUUUAAUAGGGACAAACUUGAAUACUAUGACACUAUUAUCUUUCAUCGUAACAUGGAUUACAUGUGUUUAUGUGACACAUUUACAAAAGUCAACCAAAUAAGGGAACUGCCUGUUUGAAUCUGCCACUGAACCCAGUGCAAUUGCUUGGCAGCCUGUACUUUCACCAGUGCUGCAGUCUGGCUGGGCACAAUUCACGAGCCACUUGUCAAGCAGGAACGAACUUUAUUUUUUGAACGCACGCUGCACCACGCGAGCUCUCCAGGAAUUCCCCGAGAGCCCAACUGCCACCACCAGCUCUUCCGGGGAGCACCUCAACCAGAACCCUUAGGUACCCCCUCUUGAGGCAGAUUGGCUGGGUUGCGUGGGCGGAGCCAAAAGAGUCCCCCCAAUGAGCAGCUCCGUGGUCUGAAAGGGCAGGGAAACAGCCCAAUGAGCAUCACCGCAGAGGAGCCAAUCAGCUGGAAGUUUGCUUGGGCUGUGGUGAGCCAAUCAGCUGGAACUUUGCUGGGGCCGUGGUGAGCCAAUCAGCUGGAAGUUUGCUGGGGCUGCUUUAGCUGCGGCUCUCAACAUCUCCCCCUCUCUGUUUAAUUAAACAACAAGCAUGUGGCUUAGGGACUGUGCCUGUCUUAGGUUGUCCAAUAGUACAUAUGGUCCUUACCUGUCAUCAGAUGAGCUGACCUCAAGGCGUCAGCCUCCUGUCUUAGGUUGGUACCAUUGCAAUUGGAUCUUACCCGUCAUUGACUACGGGUCCAGCAUACAGCCACACCUGUGGAUAGGCCUUUGUACCAGUGUGGGGGGGUGAGGUUCUUUGCCUCACCUCUGUUGGCCCCCAAAUUUUAGCUGAACGACCAUCACAAGCAGAAGGGAGGAGGAUACAAAAUGCCACGACACCAAGCCAAUUGACGGCUCCUUUUGGAAUAAUUGUACCACUGAUGACAUCAUCAGCAAAAAUACCCCAGCACUAUUACACAUCGCUGCACCAACAGAUAGUUCACAAUGCAUACAAGUGAGUUCACAAUGCAUACAAGUGAUACAUAGUCCAGGCAAGUUCUGCGAGCAGUUCAGUGAUAGCUAUUGCAGAAGCUGUCGUUUGGUUUUAUCUUUGUCUUCACCGGCACUGGGAUGGUGAUAGGAAUUCUGGCAAUGAUGGCUAAAGAAAAAAUUAUGUAACAUUCCAGCAGGCACUAAAAGAAAGCAAUUUUCUGAACAAUUACAUUAUCCUGAACAGAAUUAUUAAAUAUAAUGAAAAGGAAAGGUGAAAGUAAACAAAUGAAAAGGAAAGGUGAAAGUAAACAAAUGAAAAGGAAAGGUGAAAGUAAACAAACAGAUCUGUUAACCUCCUUUUUUGUUCACAUAUUAAAACAAUCCUCAACAGCUGUUUACCCAAUUUAAAUUAAACCAUUUAAAUCAUGUGAAUAAGAAAAAAAUAUUUGGAUCCAUUUUUUCAUGAGUGCUCGUCAUAUAUGAUAUACGGACAUUCGCACAUACAAACAUACAACACAAAACACAAGUGUGCACACAUAAUAUAAUACAUACAACACAUAACAUAAUAGUAAAGGCCUUGUACCUUUUUCAGGUGGAAUCUCCAUUGCAAUGUUUCCACAUCUCUCCCCACUGGAGCCAUACCAUCCAGUUCAUCAUCAAAUUCUGCAAACUGGGAAAACUCUCUCCGAUGGUGUUCUGGAAAUGCCCAAUGAGCAUCAUCACAGAGGAGCCAAUCAGCUGGAAGUUUUCUGGGGCCACUUUGGCUGCGGCUCUUAACACACCAGCAGCAGAAGUCUGCAGAGAUCACUAAGAUAAAAUAGUAAGACUAAUAAAACUCUAUACAACUUUGAAAGAUUAAUGCCAGUUAAGGGCAUUUACAGUGGCAGAGUCAGAAAUAUCCAUUACACAGUCUGUGGGCACCCCAGUGCACAUGUGUAGAAGCAGGGGCACACAGUGGCAACAGGAGAUACUCCCGUCCUGCUUGGAGACCCAAGGCUGUGCUCCACUUUCCUUGCCUCUGCCUCUGACAUCCUUUCAGCUUUCAUCCCUAGAUGAGGGGGCAGCUUGUGAGGUUGAGUGUUCCAGGCUGAGGGCACAGAGAGCUCAGCUCCAGGAGGCCAUGGUAAGCAUGGCUUUGGCAGGCAGGAGAUGUGAAAGGUAGCCAGAUGGAGCUGGGAGAUGCAAGACCACACAAUAUUAAACAAUUGAAGAGAUUGAACCAGGUCAUAUUUCUAGUAAGCUCUAAUGACAGGAUGUGCUAGAGCUUUACCAGCCAAUCAAAAUUGCCUAUUUCAAUGAUAUUGUUAUAGGUGCAGUGUGCUGCAGAGUGGAUCAUUCACAGGAUCAGAAGAGACGAGAUCAGAAGAGAAGAGAUGUCUUGCACAUUACCGAAAGCUAGGAAUAGGAACUAAAAUGUUAAAUAAUGCCUUAAAGAUCUGUGGAAAAGAUGGCACUUAUUUUGGCGGGGGGAGUACUGGGCAUUGAACUCAGGCACUGGACCACUGAGCCACAUCCCCAGCCCUAUUUCGUAUUUUAUAUAGAGACAGGGUCUCACUGAGUUGCUUACCUCCCUCCUUACUUUUGCUGAGGUUGAACUUGUGAUCCUCCUAUUCCAGCCUCCCAAGCCAUUGGGAUUACAGGCAUGCACCACUGCACCAGGCAUGAUGGCACUUUUGACAACAUCUGUUUACAUGUUUGGAUCAGCAAUGAGCCAGUAAUUGAUUUCUACAGGAAGUUUGGCUUUGAGACUAUUGAGAUGAAGAAGAACUACUGUAAGAGGAUAGAAACUGCAGAUCAUNUGUAAGUUCCU
rnacentral:lncRNA from 1 species